rnacentral:rRNA from 1 species
GGUUGCGAUCAUACCAGCACUAAUGCACCGGAUCCCAUCAGAACUCCGAAGUUAAGCAUGCUUGGGCGAGAGUUGUACUAGGAUGGGUGACCCCCUGGGAAGUCCUCGUGUUGCAACCC